rnacentral:rRNA from 1 species
AGUGAACGCUGGCGGCAGGCCUAACACAUGCAAGUCGAGCGAGCGGCGGACGGGUGAGUAAUGUCUGGGAAACUGCCUGAUGGAGGGGGAAAACUAGUGGAAACGGUAGCUAAUACCGCAUACCAUCAGAUGAGCCCAGAUGGGAUGAGCUAGUAGGUGGGGUAACGGCUCACCUAGGCGACGAUCCCUAGCUGGUCUGAGAGGAUGACCAGCAACGCUGGAGCGGAGACGCGGUCCAAACUCCUAAGGGAGACACCAGUCGAAGUUCUUCCACAGGGGGCACGAGCCAGAUGCAGCCAUGCCGCGUGUGUGUGACGGGCCUUCGGGUUGUAGAGCACGUUCAGCGGCGCGGCGUUACCCACCGAAGAAGCACCGGCUAACUCCGUGCCAGCAGCCGCGGUAAUAC